AUGGCAAAAAAAAAGUUUGAUUCAGAGGGAGAAGAAGCGACAGAAAUUAGAACAGAAAUAUCAUAUGAUUCGUCAAUCUUUAAAAAAAAGAUAAGAAGCAAAGUUUCUCCCUUGAGUUUGAGUGAAAAAACGAAAAUGCGAGAAAAAUUGCAAUCCCUACCGCGUAAUAGUGCACCUACACGCCUUCAUCGACGUUGUUUUUUGACCGGAAGACCUAGAGCUAACUAUCGACAUUUUGGGCUAUUCGGACACGUACUUCGAGAAAUGGUUUAUGAAUGUUUGUUACCGGGUGCAACAAGAUCCAGUUGGUAA
rnacentral:rRNA from 1 species